AUCCAGCUGAUGAGUUCCAAAUAAGACGGAACGAGAAUCCUGGAU
rnacentral:hammerhead_ribozyme from 1 species